CUUUCAUGUGUUUUCCUGGUUGUAAAUGUUGUCUUUUUACUUCCAUGUUUAGGAAUGAGUUGAGCAUUUCUUGUAGGGCCAGUCUAGUGGUGACAAAUUUCUUUAGGAUUUGCUUGCCUGGAAAAGAUUCAUAUAUACUUUAUUUAUGAAGUUUAGCCUUGCUGAAUGUGGAAUUCUUAGCUGACAUUAUUUUUUCUUUCAGCAUUUUGAAAAUGCCAUUCCACUGUUUUCUGGCCUUUAUGAUUUCUGCUGAGAAAUCCACUGUUAGUCUGAUGGGGUCUCCUUCAUAGCCUGCCUCAGCACCAAUGACCUGAAGAGCCUUGUUGAAGGAAGACUCCAUCUGAUGACUCAGAGCAAGUAUUUUUUAGUGUGUUAUUGUUAUUAGCAGAAAGAGGGCCAUAAAAUACAUGGGGCAAGCUGAAUAUAUCUUAGGCAAAAGAAGAAAAUAUUCAAAUUCUUAUGUUAUUUUAUCUAAUUAUUUUAUCUCUUUUUGUGUGUGACUUAUAAUGUGUGUAUUGUAUUAAUAAAA
rnacentral:lncRNA from 10 species